GAGUGUUUGAUACUGUUGUAAAAAGACACGAUACAGGAUUCAAGUCUGCUCUCGCGACCACUGUUACCUUAGCAGGUGUUGCUGUAUACAUCUCUGGCCUAGUGGGUGAGUAGGCCAACACAGUAGGUGGUUCAUCUCUUAGAGGAGUUCCUAGUGACUGAGCCCAACCCUGCUCUCAAGCCAGUAGUGAACGUGAAGGAAACUUGAUGGUCGGCAGCCAGCAGUGUACCACGGAACAGUUCAACAGAGAUGUCCAGAGAAUACAGUUGUAGUAUGAAGAGGUCCCAAGAUGCGCAGUAUAAUCACAGUUAUUAAGGCCAGACUCACAUAGCCUUAACAGAUGAGCCACAACCAGAAUUGUUCUCAUCAGCACACAGCAUUGCGUAACAUCUGGUUGAUCAGGCCAGAUUUACCAGUUUCCACAAGUCCAUUCAGCAAUUCAUCAUAAUUGUACAGCGCGCUUCACAUCGAUUGAUUUACAAUAGGUUAAGGACAUGCUGACAGGUAGUGAGUUGCUCUCCAGGAGGGAGACCAAUGACAGCUGUGAUGGGAAGUGUGACUUCACGACCAAAUGCCAUGAAAUUAGGACUGUAACCGGUAGACGCACUUUUGGAAGCUCUGAAUGCCAUCAUUACUUGCUGUAAGUAGCA
rnacentral:lncRNA from 1 species